rnacentral:rRNA from 1 species
UACGUAGGGGGCAAGCGUUGUCCGGAUUUAUUGGGCGUAAAGAGCGUGUAGGCGGCCAAACAGGUCAGCUGUGAAAACUCGAGGCUCAACCUCGAGACGUCGGUUGAAACCGUUUGGCUAGAGUCCGGAAGAGGAGAGUGGAAUUCCCGGUGUAGCGGUGAAAUGCGCAGAUAUCGGGAAGAACACCCGUGGCGAAGGCGGCUCUCUGGGACGGUACUGGACGCGUGAGACGGCGAAAGCGUGGGGAGACGAACAGG